UACGGAGGGUGCAAGCGUCAAUCGGAAUUACUGGGCGUAAAGCGCACGCAGGCGGUCUGUUAAGUCAGAUGUGAAAUCCCCGGGCUUAACCUGGGAACUGCAUUUGAAACUGGCAGGCUUGAGUCUUGUAGAGGGGGGUAGAAUUCCAGGUGUAGCGGUGAAAUGCGUAGAGAUCUGGAGGAAUACCGGUGGCGAAGGCGGCAUCCUGGACCGGUAUUGACGCUGAGGCGCGAAAGCCAGGGGAGCAAACGGG
rnacentral:rRNA from 1 species